rnacentral:sRNA from 13 species
GCUGGGCAUGGUGGCGCAUGCCUGUAGUCCCAGCUACUCGGGAGGCUGAGGCAGGAGAAUUGCUUGAACCCAGGAGGGUGAGGUUGCAGUGAGCCAAGAUCGCACCAUUGCACUCCAGCCUGGGUAACAAGAGCAAAACUCUGUCUCAA